rnacentral:piRNA from 1 species
UUGAUCCUUUGUUACAUUAA